GGUCAACCAAGCAGGGUCGGGGUUUGAUUCACACUGUGGCCCUGUGUGUGCGGAGUUUGCAUGUUCUCCCCGUGCUGCGGGGGUUUCCUCUGGGUACUCCGGUUUCCUCCCCCAGUCCAAAGACAUGCAUGGUAGGCUGAUUGGCGUGUCUAAAGUGUCCGUAGUGUAUGAAUGGGUGUGUGAGUGUGUAUGUGUUUGUGCCCUGCGAGGGAUUGGCACCCUGUCCAGGGUGUACCCCGCCUUGUGCCCGAUGUUCCCUGGGAUAGUCUCCAGGUUUCCCCGUGACCCUGAAAAGGAUUAAGCGGUAUACAAGAUGGAUGGAUUUAUGUAAAUCUUAAAAUCUGUUUAUUAUUAGGCCACAAUAAAAAUGAGCAAAACACUUGCAGGUAUUAAAGUUCAUUUAACUUGAAAUCAAAUGCAGGGGUACAUGCGUUUCAUGAGAUCCGCAUCAAAUGGCCUAUUUAUCAAAUUUAAAAUCAGUAAAGACUCUCGAACAGUUUUCCAAUCGCAUGGCAAUCACUAACGUUGACCACCACGCUAAAGCCGGAUCAGUUUUGCCUCAUAAUAAUCCCUGUUAGCGCAGAUAUUAAUCAUUGUUAAAAGCAGAAGGAACAGCUGAUCUGAAGACAGUGGUGUAACGUGUCCGUGCUGAGCUCGAAGGGUGGAUCAGGUCACUUACACACACUGCCACACUCAAUUAGCCAUUUUGCUGCCACUUCUAAAUAAGCAUUCUCACUUCCACUUCAUUAGAGCAGACGGCCAUCUCAGUGUGGGAGCUCGGCUCACAUUGUGCAGUGGGCGUUCAGCACAAACACGCCCUCGCACACUCGCAUGCACCCAGCCUACACACUGAGAGCUGAACACGCACAAAUAUACCAAUUACAGGGGAGAAAAUCGGCACAAACACCCACACGCAAUCCAAACACCAUAAACGAAGAGUGCAGGAAUAUCGCAAAUAAAUAGAUAAAUAAACGCAGUCUGUCUUACUCGUCUAUUUUAAGUCUAAACCCGUGCAGAUGAGGACGACCUUUCGCACGUCAUACACACAGAAGGACUCGGACACUCCAGAUAAGCUAAAUAUGCUAAACGUUAUCCUUACGUUCAUAUUUCUACGUCCGUGUUUUAUUUUCACCGAGAGUCCCUCUUGAGAGAUUUCAGCUCCGAGUUGAUUUCGAGUCAAACGUGAUCUCAGGAGAAAUAUAAACCAACUGAUUUCAUCUGUAUUAAAUGACGUUAUAAGAAAAUGUGCGCCUGCUAAUCCCAACUCUAAAACCCUAAUCAUAACCUUCCUAACUUUUGCAAUAAGAAUUUGCAAUCGUGAGAUCAACAGCCCACUGAAGCUGAGUUUUUGAGUGUGUAUACGGAAAUAAGGGCAGAUUUGAGGAGAAUAGAUAGAAAGGAUUGACGUCUUGGAACCUAGUGUUGCCACCUCACAGCUCCAGGGUCCCUGGUUCAAUCCUGAGGUCAAGUUAAUGUCUGGGUGUAACUUCACAUGUUUUCCCCAUGUCCACAGUGGGUUUCCUCAGGGUUCUCUGGUUUCCUCCUAUCUCCCAAAAAACAUUCUCGUAGGUGGAAUUGAUGUGAUAAAUUGCCCCAAGGUGUGACCAAUCUUUACCAAUAAACCACUAUCUUAUUAUUACUGCGAGUGGUUUACCUACAGAUCUUCUUUUUUUUUUUUUGGCCUGUUGUUGUUGUUGUUGUUGUUGUUUGUUUUUGUUAAUGUCAUAGCCUUAUUACAUACUCAGUGAUGUGCUUUAUUGCAGAUUAUGUCGUAUUCACAGGUGCAGUCUGGUUGGUAAAUCUCAUUAGCAUAGCUUUGCUUGAAUUUGUGGCUUGACAGAUUGAAUCUGUGUCCAAUUUGCAAACUUGUCUCGUAAAAACUAAAAGCGCGUAUUAAAAUGGCCCACAACAUUUCUCUGUUCAUACAUCCAAAGGGAUAUUUAUAUUAAGAGUAAAUACAGCUGCAUUUAGUUUCAUUCACAGUGUGUCCUACGUGUAAGAACGAUAAAAAGGUAACGCUUAAUAUAUAUAACGGUGGUGCUAAAUAGUGCUCCGUACGACUUAUGACAACUAACAAACAUGCAUAACCAUGUUCGGCAGACUGAAGUGGUAUAAAUUUGUGUUGUGACUGUCAUGACUGUGACCAUUUAUAACCUUUUUAUGUAAAGUUAUGACAACUUCAUGACACGACAUGACAUUGAGUCAACUAUAUUUUCUCAGCCCCUAUAUUAGCAGGAGUUUGGUUGUGAGUUUGGCUUGACACUACUAACAUUAUUCGAAGUGCACUGCAGUACAAAGCCAGUUGUUAAGAUAGUGGAAUAUGAGUGUCAUAAAGUGUCAUAAGACAAACUUAGUUGAUAUGACAUCAAAUUUGACAAACCCAGUCAUAAGACUCAUGACAACUAACAAACAUGCAUAACCAUGUAUGAAGGCUUAUUAGAACAAAUGUCAGCUGUCAUUAAGAUUCUAUCUUUGUAUGUAUCUUUAUAUGUCUAUAAGUGACAUAGAUUUGUGUUGACGUAACAUGUUAUAAGGACUGUCAUGAAAACGGACUUUGCGUAUAUCAAAGUCACAAAAUGUUUAUAAUGUGACCAUUUUAAAUACCUAUGACAGAGUUACGGAUCGUUUUUACCCCUUAUAGAGAAUCGAGUUUACUUUGACCAUUUAUGACCUUUUUAUGUAAAGUUAUGACAACUUCAUGACAUGACACUGAGUCCACUAGAUUUUCUCAGCCCCUAUAUUAGCAGGAGUUUGGUUGUGAGUUUGGCUUGACACCAUUUGACACCAUUGGCUUGACAGUGGGGCAGUGGUGGCUUGGCGGUUAAGACUCUGAGUUACUGAUCGGAUGGUUGGGGGUUCAAGCCCCCGCACUGCCAAGCCGCCACUGUUGGGCCCUUGAGCAAGACUCUUAACCCUCUCUGCUCCAGGGGUGCCGUAUCGUGGCUGACCCCAGCUUCUGGGGUCUACUAUAUGUAUAAAGAAAUUUGACAACCCCAGGCAUUAUGGUGGCUGAUGGCAGUUGUAAUAAGCAAUCUGUUGUCAUGAAUGAUUUACACAGGUCUUAUGUAGCACUAUGAACACUUCCCUUCAGUAAUGUGUUACCAGUAAAGGACACCUUGCGUUUAAAAUUAUUGCUCAGAUCUGCAUCGAUGCACUUACAGCAGAGAUUGUAACCUUUCAUAUGUCAUUGAGACAAUGACAUACAGGAUGACCCCAGUGCUGUCGGUUGGCUAGCUUUUGCUGCAUCAUGCUUCCUGUUUGCCCUUCAAAUGUUGCGUCGUUGCUUUUCUCAUUAUGUGUAAGACGAGACCAGAUUCUAGCUUCACGUCUAACGAGUAAUCGUGUCUCGCUCUACAGCUGCAUUCACUUGCAGAUUAGAUGUUGCUUAUGGAUUACAAAGCACUCUUACUAAUCAGCCUUCUCCAUUUUACAAUCCUUUCUAAGACCCAGUGUUCUGACACAUGAUACCUUUUGCAAUAGAUAUAACCAAAAGACUUUAGAUCACCGUCAUCAUCAACCUGGCUGUCUCAGCAUAUUUCUAACACUCGGCAUCCGCCAGAUUCCGAUGAACACAGUGAAAAACGACACGAGACGUAAGAACACUUUCACGGACAAGGAUUACUGCAUUUCCAAUUGAAUACCUUUGCCAGGGAAAUGGAGACACUCUAAAUCUGCUUCACCUUAUAGCGUUUGUUCAUUUAGUGCCGAAAACUGAGGUACAAAUCGAACUUCUGCACACAGCUGUGUGCAGACUUGCUAAUCAUUGACUUUAUGAUUAUAUUCCUAUUCAUUUUGCACACCUGAUGCACUGCUUAUGCCAUCUGGGCUCUCUCUGUGAAGCUUUCGUGAUGGUAACGACCUUGCAGAGGGGUUUUUGUGGCACCUGCGGAUCGAAACCCCAUCCCAUCCGGAAGGAAUGAAGCCAUUUUCUUUGUGUUCUUUCCACUUGGGAAAAUGCAUAGUCAUAUGCAAAACUAUCACGAUGAGGUAUUUUGGCUAAUCCUGAUCUCAUGAGAAAUGCAUGGGGAGGAUUUGAGAAGAAAAAAAAAAAGUGUGGUUGGAUUUCAUUCAAUUCCACCUGAAUAAGAUCACAAGCAAAAGGUAUGAAUGUUUAACCCUGUCUGUGAGCCCAUAUAUAAGUUCAAAACACAUUAACAAACCAAAAUGACAGGAUUUCAACUUUUAGCAUAUUUCUUGCUGCUAAUCUAGGCUAGCUAGCUAACAUGAGCGGAUUUCUGACGUAUUUCAAUUUACAUAUAUCUCAGAUGUUCAUAAUGCUCACCAAUAAUGCUAGUUAUCUAACUGACAUGAGCUAGCUAAACAGGAUUUCUAAGAGGUUUUAAUGUCAUAUGUAUUAGCUGUAUCAUAUUUCAUGCUAAAGCUAGCUAGCUAGAUCACUGACAGCUUUUCCAAAAGGAUUUUGAGUCACAAUGUUUAUACUCACUGCUAACGAUUGUAGCAUAUUUCUUUCUGUUAACGCAAGCUAGUUAGUUAGCAUGAGCUAAUCUGGCAUGAUUUCUGAGAGGAUUUAAAGUCAUAUUCCUUCAUUCUGUCAUACUUCUUGCAUAUGCUUGGCAGGAUUUCUAAGAGGAUGUUAAGUCGAGAAAGAGGAUUUUUUUUUUUUUUUUUUUAAAGAAAGAGGAUUUCAUGAAUGUUCAGAAUCUUCAUUGCUAAUGCUAGCAAGCUUUCUAACAUAAUAAAAUAUAUUACACAUGAAAUAUAUUAUAGAUAAUAUAUAAAUAUACAUAAUAGAUCAAUUAAAAUCCUGACAGGAUUUUAAUUUAUAUAUUACAAGUGGUCAUAACGCUUAUUUAAAUAUGCUUGUUAUCUAGCUAAAAUGAGCUAACCUGACAGGAUUUUUAAGAUGAUUUAAAGUCAUAUCCAUAAAUGUUUACAGUAUCUUCCUAAUACAAGUGAGGUAACCUGGCAGGAUUUCUGAGAGGAUGUUAUCACAGCUUUUUUUUUAAAAAAUAAUUAUUUAUUUAUGCCUGUUAUUCAGUGACUACAAUGACACCCCCCCCCCACCCCACCACCACCAUUCUAUGUAAACACUUUGAGUGUUUAGAAAAGCGCUAUAUAAAUGUAACUGUAACUAAAUUAUUCAACUUGAAACAAGUUUUAUACAAGAAUGAGGAAUGUAAACAUUAUCUUCACUACUAAUGCUAGCUAGUUAACGAGCUAACGACAGGAUAUAGGCUGUACGAAAAGUACUUUUUGAGUGUGAUUGUAAAACUUUUGAGAGAUGGCUGUCUCGUCCUGUUCAGUCUGCUCAUAUGGACAGAUUACUGGGACACGGUGUACCUUCAGUUGGCAGUGGCAGGAUGAUUUAUGAAUAACAAAUACAUUCCAGGACUUUCUGAACACAAGGUAACUCAGGGAAUGAUACAGGGGCUGAGCUUUACUAAAGUAAGUUCUCAGAUUUAUGAAACACUACUAGGAUCAAAGAAAAGAAAGAUGCCAGGAUGUGUUAUUAAGACGUUAUUACUAUUUAUUACAGUCAUAAAAACAGACCUUGCACUGUGCAUGAUUCAUACAAAAAAAAAAAAAAUUAUUCACAGAUUGAGUUGUGAUGGAAGGUGAAAAGGAUGAGGAGGGGAAAUUGAAAUUGCACCAUCCUCGUUCCAAUCCCAUCUUCAAUCUUCCAUCCUCACUUGUUUUGUAUCUGCUUUCUUUGUUCCGAUCCGUCUCCUUCUACUCCUCUAUCUGAUUCAGUUCAUCUGAUGGUCUCUGGCUCAUUCUGUCUUCCCUUUGUCACUCUUCAAUUCUCCUCCACAUCCCACCUCUUUCUUCACUUUUUUUUUUUUUUUUUUACUGUCGCAGAAGUAAGCGGCACUUUGUAAUUCGAGGCCAGGAGAGCGUGUGCUUUAACCUGCUGCAAUCUCUGACCUCUGACUCGUUUGCACUCACUGACUCAUCACUGCAGGACAUUCGAUCCUGCCUGGCAAGGCAGCUGGCAUCAUUUAAUGCCCAUCACUGGUCCAGAAAUAGUUUAGCUCACACAACACGGUCUUAUGAUUGUACGUUAAUAAGAACUCUAAUUUAAAUAUACGCAAAUAAUUACGGUUAAUAAUGAGGCACAGGAUUAAUGGUUGUAGUUAUUGCUUUGGACGAACCCGGAAAUUUUCGACAUAAAACCCUACAGCGGAGUGGUUCUCUAUCAGAGAAGGUUCCAAGUAAAACUCCUUUAAAAAGCUAAGGAAUGCUUAUAUGGGCAUGCUGUUAUAUGAAAAUAAUGAAUGACAAAAAAAUGAAAAAAAAAAGAUUAUUUUUUAAGCCAACCGUUACGGUUUUCAUUUAUUAAAGAAUGGCACAUUGUACUUUUAUCCAUUAAUUGUUACAUUUACUGUUGUGGAACAUCCACAAAACAAGUUAGUUCCGUUUAUCACUUAGGUUAUGACAGCUAUAAACAGUCAUUCCUUCACCAGGGUUCAGGUGGUGUUGGCAGCUCAGCGGAUAAGACAUUGGGUUUUCUGAUUGGAAGGUUGUGAGUUCAAAUCCCACCACUGCUGGGGCCUUAACACUUGGCUGUAUAAAUGAGAUAAAUGUAAGGCAGUCUGUAUAAGGGCGUCUGCCAAAUUCUGUAAAUGCUACAAAGCACUCACACUGGAGACUACUUCCAUAAAUGUUAAACCAACAGUUCCAUUUUUCCAAGUUUUCCUACAGCAAAUUAGAGUGUCUACUAUACAAGUCCCUAUGUUAGUUGUUACUAUAGAAAGGUAACACAUAACAGCAAACGUACAUUAAUAUGAACCUUGCAACUGGAAAUACUGUCAGAGCUGCUGUUAGAGAAAAUUAAUCAACACUUCCCGACGAAUCAUAACUGAGUAUUCAACAGCACUGUGCUGUUAUAAGAAUGCUCCACUAUCCAAAGAACCUCGUUUUGCAUGCUAUGGUCAAACGAGUCAAAUUUGUGAACUACAAAUGGUACGAAUUUGAAUGCUUUACUGCCUUUCCACUUAGCCAGGUAGCCUUGACUUCGCUGCCAGUUACAGAUGGUCGUUAGAUCCUGUAUACAAAGGAGACUAUUAACUUUCUGUAGUGACUCAUAUGAAAAGGUGAGGUGACUUAAUAUGUCUUAAAGGAAGCACUGAUUAGAUUUCAUCCUUUUGGACUGGCAACUGUUGAACGAUAGAGAAAUGGAAAUUUUUGUUAUGGCUAAAAUGGUGAAGAAAAAAAAAAUAUUUGUAAAAUAAAUACAUAAAUUAAUAAAUAAAUAAAAGCUCAAAUGAAAUGUGGUGUGAUAUGACGUUGCUACUGCCAAGAGUCCAUCCAAACCACCAGAAAUCUGAUCACAGAGCAGCGGGUGAGCUCAUUUCUGCGAUAGGUUUUUUUUGUUGUUGUUGAUCCAGUAGAUUUUACAAUUCAUCCAGAUAAUCUAUGAUUAAAGCAUCUAUGGGAAAAUAUGCUUUUGUUUAUAUCCUGGAGGAAUGAUUAAGGACAAGCUCGAGUUCUCCAGCUUGUUUUGCUCAGCAUGAAAUGAGUCCUCCUAGUUUCUUAGCUUUCCAAAAAAGCAAAAAAACAACAAAAAAAAGCCCUCAACGGUAAUAAAACAUAAAGCCAUGGAUCAUCCAAGAGACGAGAGCUGGAUGGGGGUGGGGGUGAAAUGCAACAGUACAGUAGUUGAGGUUUUCUUGUGAUAAUUAUUUGGACCAGAUUGUUUCUUUUUUGAUUAGUUGCAGUUGGGUUUGUUUGCAUUCCAAAGGUCAGUCGUUGUGGUUGGAACAGCAGCUUGGCUUCUGCUUGCCUAAGAGUCAUUUGAGGUGAAAAGAUGGCGGCAGGCAGAGCGCUGCCAUCCGUCUCCUCUGAUCCUUCAUCUCUCUCUCUUUUUAUCCCCCCCCCAACUGUCUUUCUUUAUGGCGGUGGCAGACGGAGGUGUGAGUGCUACAUAAAUGCAUUUAUUUGCCGUUUUCUUUGCGUGUGGCAUAGGGAUUCAAAGAGAACAAGUAGUAGAAGGGGGCGGAUGGAGUCAUGUUUCCACGAAUGCCACACUUCAGUCUGUUUUUGCUCAUAUAUAGCAUGGAAUUCUGGGAAAAGGCUGACGUUCGAUUCAAAAUUGCAACAGUAGAAAAGUUAGCUCUGUUGUCUAUGGUGAGAAAAAAAAAAUUUAAAUAAAAACCCAAGGAAUCAUAGUUCAAAUGUAGUCUUAAGAAAUAAAUUAAAAUGCACACUUACCCCCUAAUAGGUGCAACAUCUGCCCUUAUUCAUGUGAGGUGACAGGCAGGCCACGUCAAGUUAAAUAAGGAUAACAAUAAUCAGAAACUAACUCAACAAGAGUUUAAAUAGGACAAACUAAACAGAACUGUGCACAGAACAGGUGAACACAAUCAGGCAACAAACCAAUGACAUGACAGGGGUGGAGACAAGAAUAGAACAUGACCACAUGGUGUUCAUUGCUAUCGGAACCAUGAGGUAAAGGAGGGAAGCAUGAGAUGUAAACUGUUACAGAAAAUCAAUCAAUCAAUCAAGCAUCUGACCAAUCAGAUCUGAGAAUUUAACAGUGCCAUGGGAUCGUUUUGGGAUGAGAUCACUCCUCUGAACAUAUGGACUUUACGACCUUGAAUUCAGAUCAAACUUGCGUUCGAUUUGUGCAACUGGCAGCAGAAAAUCAACAUGCUAAAGCAACUCGGAGGUUCCCUCGAAGGCCCUGAGUUAAACAAAUGAAGAGAAUGAAAUCAGAUGUCGCAAAGUUUGCUGCGUUUAUUACAGUUUAAAAGGGUUAAUCUUCUCCAUCCUUCUUGAAGAAUGUGACUUGGCUGAGGUGAAACGGCCCAUGUGAUUUGCACACUAUCAAUUAUAGGCCUUUAACAAAUGAAACCAGAUGCCUGUUGACUGUGUGUGUGUGUGUGUGUGUGUGUGUGCGCGCGUGUGUUUGUGUGUGUGUCUGUUUUAUGUGUCUCAUGACUGGCGUUUAGAACACCCUGAAGUAAACAGUGUUUUGUGUGCGCGUCUGCACGCGCGCGUGCGUGUGUGUGUGUGUGUGUGUGUGUGAAAGAAGAGACUCAUGCUGCCUUGCAUGCAACAAGAGCACCGUUGGUGGGUUUGCAAUCCAGACAACACCUAGUAAACAUAAUAAAUGCUAAUGAAUGUUUAUUUCUGAAAAUUUGGAAGAAGAUUUUAAGGCAUUCAGUGAUCUGUGACUCACUGUGCUUUGAAUGUACAAUUAACACCAGUUAUAUCUCGCCGAUUGGUUACAUUAAACACAAUAUCGAAUCAGAACUGCUCUUAAGUGGGAAAUUGUGCAAAUCUGUGUAUCAAUUUGUGGAUCCUGGUUUUGAGUGGCCCACUUUAAAAAGCAUACAAAUUGCAUGUUAAACACCUGCAGAUGUGUUGAACACGUUGCUAGUGAAAUAAAGUGCUAGAGUGAGUGAACGUGUAAUGCUGUUUUCACGUGAUCUGCCUUUAUUAGUCAUUCCCAUGCACAGUGUGGGACGGGGUGCUAUAAUAUCCCUACGCCUUUGGCCAUAUGGAAUGAUCUCAUUCAUAAUUCAUUUGCAUUCAGACUCUUAUUGAUGACCCGUUGAAUUCAGACAUUUUAUUAAUGUGCCUUUUUUUCAGUGCCUCUUAUUAAUGUUCCUUGUCAACACACUAUAAUUUUGUUGCUUCUCAGCUGGGGUUUCUGAAAUAUCCGCUCUGAAUCUUAAUCAGCUUCAGCAUUGUCCAGUCGUUGAUUAAGUUUCGUCAUCAUCAUCAUCAUUCAUCUGUCUAUUUGAUCUAAUUACAGAACUAGCACACACCCGUGACUCAUAGACUAGUGUGCCAGUUUCAGGAAUAUUCUGGAUUUCGGUCAUUUUGUCCAUUAAAUCCGUCUCUUAUUUGUCCUUACGUUCUUACGUACACGCUCGAACGCCAUCUUCCAUCUUUACGUACAGCUUAACCUCGAUCUCAUUAAAAAUAAUAAUUAUUCACAAAUAAGAAAUCAAGAAAAAGAUCUAAACAGAAACCCCACACUUUAUCCCGGAUCUUAUCCUUGGUAAGAUUUCGUGCAGAUCGAAAUAUUAGAAAUGUAGAAGUAUAAGAUAAGUUUGCUUCACUGAAGAAGGUUAAAAAAAAAAAAAACCUUGAUAUUAUACAAAUUUCAAUAAUCCAGUAUUUAUAAAAUUGUUUUUAUAAAAUUGAGUCUCCAGUGUCAGUGCUUUGUAACAGCAUGUAUAAAAUUGUUCAGAAUGGAAGAUUUUGUGGUUUAAAAUGACAAGCUGUGGGUUUUUUGGUGAGGGAACAGUUGUUUAUAGCUAUCUUAUGUAACUUCUUUUGAGACGCACAAGCUAAUAGGGGCUAAUUGCUAUGGUCUAAGAAGAAUAAAACACUUUAUAACCACUUUAUAAUGGUAACAGUUUCUCGCUUAACGUCAGGCCGCAUCACUCCAAACAGUCACUGAUUAUUUUUCUUUAACAGCAUGCCUCCGGAUGUUUUACUCCUUACUUAACACUCGGGGCGAUAUGCAAAUCAGGAGCUCGUGUCAUAACCGAUCUCCACAGACUUGUAAACAUCACCGUGAAUGCGCCGCUCUGUUCAGUUAAACCAGGCAAAUGACAGAGUUACUGUGCGUGGAGUCUAACGGUGCGGAAAAAUCCUGACAAGAAAAUCUCACACCUGCGGCAAAAGUCGAUGUGCUGUUGCGUUAAGCGAUACACACCUUAUGUCAUAACAUCAGUCUGCUGGCAGAUGACAUAAUUAUUACCUCCGUGUGUUUAUAAUGAUGGCAUCACUGACUGCUGAGGUCUGUAAAUGUAUGGGUAUACACAUACUAAUGUGAAGUGUGUUCACCUACAGGUCUCUCUCACACACACACACACACACACACGCACACACACACACACACACACGCACACACUUAUUUCUAUUUAAUUAAAACCACUUUUUAUUUUCACGUGCGUAAUGACAAGAGUUUAUGAUGGUGUGUAUUUUCUCUUCAGGGAACGUGUAUUGAUUCUGUUAUUAACAUAAAUGAAGGUGUGUGUGGGUGUGUGUGUGGGUGAAUGUGUGGGUGUGUGAAGUUGUGUGUGGGGUGGAGGUGGACAUGGUGUGGGUUUGUGUUAGAUGGGCAUUUCAGUGCCUCCCAGCAUGUUUGCAAUUGGG
ensembl:lncRNA